AGUGAACGCUGGCGGUAGGCCUAACACAUGCAAGUCGAACGGCAGCACAGUAAGAGCUUGCUCUUACGGGUGGCGAGUGGCGGACGGGUGAGGAAUAUAUCGGAAUCUACUUUUUCGUGGGGGAUAACGUAGGGAAACUUACGCUAAUACCGCAUACGACCUACGGGUGAAAGCAGGGGAUCUUCGGACCUUGCGCGAUUGAAUGAGCCGAUGUCGGAUUAGCUAGUUGGCGGGGUAAAGGCCCACCAAGGCGACGAUCGGUAGCUGGUCUGAGAGGAUGAUCAGCCACACUGGAACUGAGACACGGUCCAGACUCCUACGGGAGGCAGCAGUGGGGAAUAUUGGACAAUGGGCGCAAGCCUGAUCCAGCCAUACCGCGUGGGUGAAGAAGGCCUUCGGGUUGUAAAGCCCUCUUGUUGGGAAAGAAAAGCAGCAGGUUAAUACCCCGCUGUUCUGACGGUACCCAAAGAAUAAGCACCGGCUAACUUCGUG
rnacentral:rRNA from 1 species